rnacentral:rRNA from 1 species
UACGUAGGCAGCGAGCGUUGUUCGGAGUUACUGGGCGUAAAGUGUGUGUAGGCGGUUGUUUAAGUUUGGUGUGAAAUCUCCCGGCUCAACUGGGAGGGUGCGCCGAAUACUGAAUGACUCGAGUGCGGGAGAGGAGAGUGGAAUUCCCGGUGUAGUGGUGAAAUGCGUAGAUAUCGGGAGGAACACCAGUGGCGAAGGCGACUACCUGGCCUGUUCUUGACGCUGAGGCGCGAAAGCUAGGGGAGCAAACGGG